ACUGUCUGCUCUUUUUGGUCUUGGUGCUGGGCAGGGUUUAAUUGGCUGGUGGAUGGUUAAAAGUGGUUUAGAGGAGCCAGCAUCUGAAUAUGCUCAGCCAAGAGUAAGC